AAUGAACGUUGGCGGCGUGGAUUAGGCAUGCAAGUCGUGCGACAAGCCUUUCUGCUUGCAGAGAGGUGGAGGAGCGGCGAAAGGGAGAGUAACGCGUGGGCAACCUACCCUUAGGCCCGGGAUAGUAGUGGGAAACCGCUAGUAAUACCGGAUAAUGUCUCCGGACCAAAGGUGUGAUUCCGUCUGGGGAUGGGCCCGCGUCCUAUUAGCUUGUUGGUGGGGUAACGGUCUACCAAGGCGAAGAUGGGUACCGGGCGUGAGAGCGUGGCCCGGCUCACUGGGACUGAGACACUGCCCAGACACCUACGGGUGGCUGCAGUCGAGAAUCUUCCGCAAUGGACGAAAGUCUGACGGAGCGACGCCGCGUGCGGGAUGAAGGCCUUCGGGUUGUAAACCGCUGUCAGUUGGGAGGAAAUCCAUAGGGGCUAUCCCCUAUGGUUGACCUAUCUUCAGAGGAAGGCCGGGCUAAGUUCGUG
rnacentral:rRNA from 1 species